rnacentral:tRNA from 1 species
UCUGUGGUGUAGUGGUUAACACGUCUGCCUGUCACGCAGAAGAUCGCGGGUUCAAGUCCCGUCGGA